rnacentral:tRNA from 1 species
GCGGGCGUAGUUCAGUGGUAGAACAUCUCCUUGCCAAGGAGAAGGUCACGAGUUCGAAUCUCGUCGCCCGCUCUA